CUUCAUCAAAGGAAGCCAGGUUAGGAGCUCAAGCAUGUGGGAACCUGGAGGCAGGAGCUGAUGCAGAGGCCAUGGAGUGGGGAGCUGCUUACUGACUUGCUGCUCCUAAUGACCUGCUUAGCCUGCUUCUUAUAGAACCCAGGACCACCAUCCCACAAUGGGCUGGGCCCUCCCCUAUCAACCAUUAAUUAAGAAAAUGCCUUACAGGCUUGCCUACGGCCUGAUCUUAUGGGGAGGCAGUUCUUAAUUGAGGUUCUCUCCUCUCAGAUGACUGUAGCUUGUGCCAACUUGACAUAAAACUCUCCAGCACACACUUUGACCUCCAUAAGUCGUGGCGGCAAACACAGAAGUAUGUUUAUUGCUGCAAUGUGUGUCAAAAGACUUGCGGCCUUCUGAUGCGAUGAACUCCAUCGAGUGAGCACGGAUUUAUGGUGAUGCCAAUUUGAAUCUGACAGGAUACCAGCACAUUAACCGCUCCUGGUGAUUCUUAGAGGAAAAACAUGUGAACGACCAACCCAAGUAAUGAACAAGCCAAGCUUCUAUUUACCUGUCAAGAAAUGAGGACAACCAUGAUACAGCCACUACAGCGCAUACAUAUUUUGGGACAUUGCUCAUUUAAUUCAUAUGGAACCUUUACGGAAGGGGAAUGCAGCUGGAAGAGGCGUCUACAGGAGGAGACUGAAAGCCUGAGAGGUGAAUGGGAGCUGACCUCUGAGAACUGAGAAUGCAGGAGGCCAUGGAGGAGGGUUUUUCCUGAUGAUGGGCCGAAGACGGUCCAUAAGAAUCUGGCAGGCAUUCUGAAAAGCAAAUGUUUAGACGGACAUCAGAGCUACAAAGCGCAAAACAGCAAAGCAUUAAUGAUCCAGGAAGACUUUAAUGGCAGCUGUUUUACAGGUGUGGAAAUGGACUUAACACAACUGGAACCUGCAAGAGUCAAUUCCCGGGCACACCUUCUCCUGGAUACUGGAGGACUGGCAAGGAUCUGGAGAUGUUUUUGGUCUCCAAAGGUUGUCUUCGAGAAUGGUGGUGGGGGAGGAGGGUAUGCCCCAGUGUGGGUAAUCCUGCACAGCCACAGGCUGCCAGUGGAGCCUAGAUACCCAGCUUUAACACAAUCCCACACAAUGUUGAUGGUGACGAGGUUUGGGAUCCAUUAAUUGAAUCUACAUUCAUCAGGUUGUACAUUAGUGACUAGAAGCCUAGAGAUGGGAAACAGUUGGUCACACCCAGAUGCCUAGCAUCAUGGGGGUGGGAAAGGAAAAGAUAAUGCCGGAGAUUGAACUCUGUGAAGAAGCAGUUAUGGUGAAAUGAGAGGGGAGGCAAGAAAGGGAUCUUUUUGUUUAUGCCAGUUCGCUUUUGAAACCUGGCCUGACACUGUUGAGGUUUGUUUUUUUGCUAUGUAUUAUAAUGCUAAAUACCAGCCCUGGUCACUCCCAGGGAUGGGGAGGUUCUCACAUGGACUUAAGUGAUGCUAGGUAAUCUUGCCCCCACCCCCCCAAGUUAUCCCUGAAUGGUGAAUAAAAAUGCCUUUCGCCUGUAGCUGGGCAGAAGAGAGAUAGGUGGAGUUUUGGCUCCUUGGCUGGGGGUCUGAGGCAGGGGCCAUGAGGAGACAGAGAAGGUAGAGAGAGAAGAUGAUACCAUGGGGUAGGUGAGUCAUGAAAACAUGGCCAUGAAGGCUGCCCAAUUGGAGUGAUAGCGGGGUUAUUGAUGAGGAAGUGGAUUUCAAUAUCUGCUGAGUUCUAGUGCUUUAAAGGCUUAUCAUAUAUAAAAAGGUCUUCUUUCUUUCAUCUGGGGUGGAAAACCCCAAUGGAGAUUAAGUAUUUUCUGCACCAUGACAUUCCAGUACUUAUAUUAGGGUGCAGCUACUCAAAUGGGUCCCUCUGAGUAGGACCUUACUGUUGAUGCUCUCCAAGACCCUAAAUUCUGCAUCCCGAAGGUCUGUUCCGAUAUCCAUGGUUUCUGCCUUUGUCUGCGUCCGUGCUCUCUCCUGCUAGAGGGAACCAGCCGCCCUUCAUUUCUCUGUCUCUAAAGAGGGACGUCAUGGCUGCCCAGAUUCCCUUCCUUGUGCAUAAGCCGUUUUUGAGCGAGAGCCAGCCCUUUGGAGAUGGGCUUUGAUAAGGGUCCAUCUCUUCCACCUCACCUGAUUGUAGAAGGCUAUGGGGACCGCAACGCUGAACUUCAUGGGGACGACAGCAAGCCCCCUCUUCUUCCAAUAGUUGUUUCCGUUAAAUUCCUCUGCAGCCUUCUUCCUAGCAAAGAAUGACGACUUCUCCAGACACUCCUUCCAGCAUCUCCGCAAGGGCUCUGGAUUAAACGUCUGCUUAUAGGCUGUCUUGCUAGUUUUCUUAUACAUGUUUAUUUCUCUAACCUGAAAGGUGAGAACAUGUGUGCAUCACAUGUCUGAUAUGGAAAAAGUUUGUCUAAAAAUACUUUUAGUAUACUAAAGUAUAUAUAUAUAUAUGUAUAUAUAUAUAUAUAUAUAUGUUAAAAUGACUAUAUAUAUGUAUAUAUAUGUUUAAAAUGACAACAGAAACCAAUAGAAACUACUAACGAGUACUUCAUAUGCCCCAGGCUUUAGAUAAAGUAUUUCAGUGAGCUUCACAAUAACCCUAAGAAACAGUAGGACAAUUACUCAUCCUGUUAUCAAUUUGUUGGCAAGAGAAGAUUUUCCUGAUUCAAAUUAUUUUGUUUUGUUUUUGCUUUUUUUUCGAGACAGGGUUUCUCUGUAUAGUUCUGGCUGUCCUGGAACUCACUUUGUAGUCCAGGCUGGCCUUGAUCUCAGAAAUCCUCCUGCCUCUGCCUCCCGAGUGCUGGGAUUAAAGGUGUUUGCCACCACACCCAGCUCCUGAUUCAAAUUCUUAAUUACUCCCAAUUUCCCUCACUUUACCCCUUGAGAGUAUUGCACAUGCCAAGCAAACCCUUGUCUAUCAAGUGACAAGAUGUUUGCACAAAAGGCUGUGAUCAUCCCACCCAUUUCUGCCCUGGUAUAGUUUCACACUGACUCUGGAUUGACCUUGUGACCUGCUUUUUAUGAUGGGACUGUACAUAGUAACACAGACAGAGACUUGACAAAUGUUUGUGGAUUACAGCAUGCCACCAACCUGCUGCUCUCCGGAAUUCUCUGAUACCCAUGAGAGUGAAUCUGGGCUAGCUUACUGAAAGAUGAACGACUAUACAACAGACUUUACAGCUGAGGCAUAGUCAGAUAAGCCAGCCCAAUACUCAUCAGAAAUGUCAAUAAAGAGAAAUGUUAAUAAAGCCGUCUUGAACCAUAGAGCUUCCAAUGAGCUGGCCUAAGACCAGGAGAAGCUCCCAAGAAACCCACAGAAUCCUAAGAAAUAGUAUCACGGGUAGAAGCUAUCAGGUUUAUUGGUUCCCAUACUACAAUAGAAAAUAUUUACUGAUAAUGCAUUUUAUUUUCUUGAAACUGUAUAUAUAGAGAGAGAUUGCAGGAGCUCGAGACACACACCAACCAUGGCCAGUGCUUUCCUAGCUGGUUCUAACUGCUCACCUCUUCAGGGAGUAAGUUACAUUUAGAUGCUACCGCAGCGAUGUAUGCUUCGACGACCACCGUAGCCUGAGGGAAGCCAAAUCCUCGGAAAGCCGUGUUAGAUGGUAAGUUUGUUUUGCAAGCCCUGCCCCGGCACCGGAAAUUCGGAAUAUGAUAUGUAUUUUCAGAUUUCAGCACGACAAAUUCUAUCACCUGAAUUAAAACAAAAAUAACUC
rnacentral:lncRNA from 1 species